rnacentral:rRNA from 1 species
UACGAAGGGUGCAAGCGUUACUCGGAAUUACUGGGCGUAAAGCGUGCGUAGGCGGUUUGUUAAGUCCGCUGUGAAAGCCCUGGGCUCAACCUGGGAAUUGCAUUUGAGACUGCGUAGCUAGGGUGCGGAAGAGGGAAGCGGAAUUUCCGGUGUAGCGGUGAAAUGCGUAGAUAUCGGAAGGAACACCAGCGGCGAAAGCGGCUUCCUGGUCCAGCACCGACGUUCAGGCGCGAAAGCGUGGGGAGCAAACAGG